rnacentral:lncRNA from 1 species
UGGAAGAAUUGUGCUUAUUGAUUGGUGCUUUUUGUUCAUGUACUGAAAGCUUGAAAACUACUUUUGGCUGAUCUUAUUGAUGAUUUUGUUGAAUAGUUGAACCUACACCUGGCGUUGAUUCUGAAGGAAUUGAGGUUGUUAGGGAUUAUUUUAGAUAACAAUAGCGUUCUUAAAACUAUACCACUUAAAUAUAGAUAUAUAGAUAGAGCAAAAGCCUGCAAGUGCAGAGAUCGACAAUGAUGCUGUUAGCCUAUCAUGUAAGCUAAUUAAUUUUCUUCUACCUUGUUUACAUUUCUUUUUGAAUACUUGCCUUAUUCCUUGUUUCUUUGCACUUGUAUUUGUCCAACUCCGCAUAUCAAGAACUCUUAGAAAGUGCAAAGUUUAAUUUCAAGUAUUGACUUAUCUAAUGUCUCCAAGCCAUGUUCGUAGCAUCACACAAGUGAGCUUGUAAACCAUUGAAUAUUCAAACUGUGACCUAAAGUAGAACUGGCACCCUCUGGCUGGAGUAGUAGAAUAUCAAAUUAGUGUUUGUAGUAUCGCACAGCUGUUUAUGGCAUCAAUCAUGUUUGUAUAUGUCCUAUUGGUCCUAAGCAUUUCAUUGUUCAGGUUGCACUUGUCCUUUGUUUUGCUUGUCAUGAAAACUAUCCCACAGUUGCUUAUUGAAGUUAUCCUAAUAAGUCUAAUUAUUUUUAUUUACCGUGGAAACCUUCCAGAUCACAAUCUAGUUGUGUCACUACUCCUAGGUCGAUCUUAACUUCUGGGACAUAAUCAGUAACUAUGGAUGCUAUAAAAAGAGGAGCAGCUAAGAUGGGACAAAAUCAUCAAGUGUAUAUUUGCACAUUUUACACUUUUGUACAGAUAACAUCACAAUAUAUGUGUCAAAAG